GUGGCUGGCCAAAGGGUGCUGUCCUGGGCUCACAGGCCCAACAGGGUGCUGGGGUGGAAUCUCCCGAAUGUGUUGAUGCAGAUUUCAAUUUGGAUGCCAUUAUAUUGCAGAUGUUUCCAUGUUUACCAAACGCACUGUUGUUUGUGAAUACUAUAGAUAAGUUUGUAAUUGCGUAUGUAGACAAAAACGAAUUCUUUGGGACAUUUCCAUCAUGCAACUUUAAAUGCAACAGAACUGUGACAUUGCCAUUAGAAAAAUGCAAACUGUGUGGAUCCAGUUUAAAGUCUUUCAGCAGCAGCUGUGUGCCCAGUGUUAAGUAAAACACGAAUUGCACGUUACCAUCUUCAUGGUCAUUAUUACAGCUUGGUGAGUUGGUGUUCUUGCCUCUAGUCUGCAAACAGGAGCAUCAUCCUAACAGAAACAGGACCUCAGCACUUUCCAUCCCACAAAUAUUAACACUUACACAAUAAAGAAACAAGUCCCCAGUUUCUUCAUAUAGCACUAAAUGUUCUUCACGAUCUGGCCUGAAAUCGCUUUCCUGGCUCCAUUUCUGACCAGUGCCUGGAUGAAUGCCGCACAUCUUAGACUACUCACUGUUUCCAAACAGCCCAUGAAGCGGCUGCCUCUCACCUCUGUCUACAUUGAGCUCCUUUUCCUAAAGACUCUGCCACCUUCUGCAGCUCAUCUGCUGAAAUCCCAGCCCGUUGUCCUCUGGCCUCACUCUUUUCCUGUGUUUUUAUGUGAUUUUGUUUAUGUAAUUGUCAAAAUAUCCAUUGCACUAAUUAAAAUGGCUUGUAUACUACAACUCUGAUAAAAUGUAAGCUUCAUUAAACUAGGGGCCACAUCUCAGCCAACUAUUUUUAAAUAUAUUAAUCUUAUUUAUUAAUCAUCUUCUAUGUGUCAGGCACUAUAGUGAAAGGUUCAGAGGUAAAAG
rnacentral:lncRNA from 1 species